AAGAUGAUACUUUCAGGGAUCAUUUCUAUAGUUCGUUACUAGAAAAGUUUCUCUAAAUGUGUAGAGAAAAAAACUAUUCCUAGU
rnacentral:snoRNA from 1 species